rnacentral:rRNA from 1 species
CAAUAAGCAGAGGAAAGGAAANUANCAAGGAUUCCCCUAGUAACGGCGAGUGAAGCGGGAAGAGCCCAGCACCGAAUCUUCCUCCUUUAGGUGGACGAACUGUGGUGUUUAGGACUUUCUUUUUUGCAUUGCUAUUGCGUCUGAGUCCUCCUGAUUGGGGCUAUCCCAUAGUGGGUGUAAGGCCUCUACUGACGCGGAGCUUUGCUUUUUGAAACGUCCUUGGAGUCGGGUUGUUUGGGAAUGCAGCCCAAAGUGGG